rfam:Ectocarpus siliculosus strain Ec 32, whole genome shotgun sequence assembly, chromosome LG21
GAUCUCGUGGCCUAAUGGAUAAGGUGUCUGUUUCCGACGCAGAAGAUUCGGGGUUCGAAUCCCCGCGAGAUUG